CAAACGAGGUCCCGUGCUGAGGUUCUGGGUGGACAUGAACUCGUGGGGUGUUCCUCGACCCAAAGCACCCACAUUACGACGACAACAAAAUCUCACUCAAGUAACCCAUGCUCCUCGCCUUUCUCCUGCCCACUAGCAUGCCCCCGGAGUCCCCAAGAUCCUGGUGGGGAACCGCCUGCACCUGGCGUUCAAGCGGCAGGUGCCCACGGAGCAGGCCCAGGCCUACGCCGAGCGCCUGGGCGUGACCUUCUUUGAGGUCAGCCCUCUGUGCAAUUUCAACAUCACGGAGUCGUUCACGGAGCUGGCCAGGAUCGUGCUGCUGCGGCAUGGGAUGGACCGGCUCUGGCGGCCGAGCAAGGUGCUGAGCUUGCAAGACCUCUGCUGCCGGGCGGUCGUGUCCUGCACGCCGGUGCACCUGGUGGACAAGCUCCCGCUCCCCAUUGCCUUAAGAAGCCACCUCAAGUCCUUCUCGAUGGCCAACGGCCUGAACGCCAGGAUGAUGCACGGCCGUUCCUAC
rnacentral:sRNA from 1 species